AUUGAACGCUGGCGGCAUGCCUUACACAUGCAAGUCGAACGGCAGCACGGGAGCAAUCCUGGUGGCGAGUGGCGAACGGGUGAGUAAUAUAUCGGAACGUGCCCAGUCGUGGGGGAUAACGUAGCGAAAGCUACGCUAAUACCGCAUACGAUCUAUGGAUGAAAGCGGGGGAUCGCAAGACCUCGCGCGAUUGGAGCGGCCGAUAUCAGAUUAGGUAGUUGGUGAGGUAAAGGCUCACCAAGCCGACGAUCUGUAGCUGGUCUGAGAGGACGACCAGCCACACUGGGACUGAGACACGGCCCAGACUCCUACGGGAGGCAGCAGUGGGGGAAUUUUUGGACAAAUUGGGGCGCAAGCCUGAUCCAGCAAUGCCGCGUGCAGGAUGAA
rnacentral:rRNA from 1 species